AUCCAAAUAGUUUAAGUUGAAAAUAUUGGUUUGUGGUGCCGAUGAUAUGGUUUUAUAUUUUGGAUU
rnacentral:tRNA from 1 species